CGCUGCCAUUUCUGGGGUUUACUCAGAGACGCACCUGGCAUCUUAAUUAGUUUUUUUUUUUAAUACUACGUAUAAAUCGACCGCAAAUAUCACGGGUUAAGACGCGUCGUGCUGGGAUGAUGGAUUGUAGAAGGCGUCGGUUGUACCGAGGCUGGCGGCACGCGAAGCACCUCUGGCCCGUGUGCGGCCGACAGUGUAUGUCACGGUGAAGAAAGUGAGGCGAGUUCGCUGUAAUUGGCGGGUGUGAUCACCGCAGCAUAAUGCCGCUGUCCUGACAGAGAAGAUGUUGGAUAAAGGGAUAACCUUGAGCGCUGGCGUGACGUGACUUUGCUCUUCUCUUUUACUGCAAUUAAGUGGAAGUCUUUGAAAGAAGCUGCAAUCCUUCAUACUCAAAUACCACACCACCAUCUGUCUAUUUAAUCAAAUAUCUAAGCAAAUGUGUACAGAUGAAUUGAGCUUCAAGUGAGAAGCAUGUGCAAGGCCUUGUAGGACUGGGAUGCAUUCUGGUCAGGCAAGGAUAGAGGUGUCAGGCAAACUCAGGUGAAACAUUACACUUUAUGAUAAAAAGAAAACUAAAUUGAUGUUGAUAGCUUAAUCGCAUCCAGUGCACCGCAAGGGACCCCAACACCCUAGUGGUGCCACUGAUCGUGUCAACCCAAUCUCAUGGAUAUCUUUGUGGUUUGAUUUGUUUGAAGUUAAAAAUAAAUGAAUAAAUAAACAUGAGAUGACAUGAGUAAAGGUGAAGGAACACAAAAGAAAAUACUUUAAAAACAUGCCUCAUUUUUUUUUUUUGUCUACAAAAAUGAAAGUCGGACCCAAAUGAC